rnacentral:lncRNA from 1 species
GCAAUGACACAUCACUAGGAAGGUCAGUGACAUUUUAUUCAGUUGAGCUGGUAUUAUAGGCUUGAGACAUAGUGGCUUUAAAGCUGAUUGCCCACAGGCUAAUCAUCUUUUACAUCGUGAUCAAUAUUUUUUUUAUCUCGGGCAACUUCCUUUCUGCUGCUUUUCCUUGGAGCAUGGAUGCUUCUCUAAUUUAGAAGAUUUUGCAGUGCAUAUGUUUUGCCUUUCCCUUUGAAGGCAUGUCAUGUUUUUUUAAAUAUACAUGCAAAUGUAUUCAGUACAAAUGAUGAAUAGUGUGAACCUUUCACACUAUGGUCCCUCAAAAUGAAUGCAUACAUUAAGGCUUUAUUAAUGUAUAUUCUUUAUUUGAUUU